AGUAAGAUGAAGACGUAUGAGUCCAUUUUAACGAUAAUAUGAUGUAUGUUUGUGUGUAACUGCUGUAGCUUGCAGGUGACGCAGUGCGUAUGACUCAGAGGGAGAAAGAGCGCUUACAGGAGCUCCUCAAGGACAUAGAAGAAGAAGAGGAGGCUUAUGAUGACCCACUGGCCAACCCUGAGCUUGCAGGUGAUGUGGGGAGUGGAGUUUUGACUCAGAAAGAAAAAGACAGAUUAAAUCAGCUCCUCAGUGACUUAGAAGAAGAAGAAGAAGAAGAAGAUUAUGAUGACCCACUGGCCAGCCCUGAGCAUCACUCACUCCGCCGCGUGCUGCCAGAGGAUUUGGCUGCGACAGUUAUGGUGUCCUUCUUCCCUUUGCAACUCGUUCGUCUGCAAUUAUACAUGGCAACCAAACAGAGCGGAAUACAGAUGCUCGGAGGCCACCUGAAGGGUCAGAGCGAAAGGCUUCCUAUUAUUGCGAGACCCUGUUGUUGUGCGUGCUGCAGACAUUUUUUGAUGUCUUUUGGCCGAUGCCGGGGACAUGUGAGUGACCAGGCACACAGAAGGGUCUUGGCAGCCUCUGAUAUGACCUCAUAAUCAAACACAGACGCCUCCUGUUCUCCUCUUCUAUGUUUUAUAGCCCGUCAGUCAGGAAUCGAUUCCCCGAGGCGUUAAAAUGUGACUUCUACCUGCAGGAGGACUAUAGUUAGGACUGAACGGCGUUUUAAAUCUUCCUCUUUUGCAGACUUCAGGCUAAAUUUGAGAAAAGACUGAUGACCUUUAAACUGGUUUCCAAUCCAAAUGAUCCCCAUUAUCCAUUUUUCAUUUGUAGUUCUAAAAUUACAGACUGUAGUCCUGAAUCUCUUUCUCUGCAUGCUUUAUUAUCAUUUUCUACCCGGUUCUUUAAUGGUCAGGACCCCACAGGACCACAGGACCUUUUUUCUGGCAUGAGUAGAUCAGAUGCAGCAGUGCUUAUGGAGUUUUUAAACACCGUUACCACUCAUUAACAUUUUAAUGUAACACAAGACAAACAAUAAAUCUACACUGAUG
rnacentral:lncRNA from 1 species